GAUCCCCCACUCCAGUGGGGUUGAUCUCCUCAGACUCAGGGAGAUGGGUAUGUUCCAGGGACAAACCAGUAGUCUAGGGGAAGGCCUUGGAGAGAUGUUCCUCCACCCCAGACACCACCCGGCCCUGGAACUUGUCUCUGCCUAAAUUCUAUCUAGAGAGUGUCAGGAGUUCCUGGGCCCAGGAUCAGCAAAUGCGACGCCCUAGGUCCAAAUCUCCAACAUCUGGCUCCCCAACGUGGGGCUCGAAGAAGUUAGUGAGGCUUCCAAAUCAGUAUCAGGAACUGCGGAAAAGACCUGGUCGAGGGUUGUGUGACAUCCAAAGCAGUGUGACUCCAGUCUUCUUUUAAGUAAGUAACAUUUCCGCGAAGUCAUCAGGGUAAUGGGUAAUCAAAUGGGACCUGUGGAAGCAU
rnacentral:lncRNA from 1 species